rnacentral:rRNA from 1 species
AGGCUGCAACUCGCCUGUAUGAAGUUGGAAUUGCUAGUAAUCGCGGAUCAGCAUGCCGCGGUGAAUACGUUCCCGGGCCUUGUACACACCGCCCGUCACACCAUGAGAGCCGGUAAUACCCGAAGUCAGUAUCCUAACCGCAAGGAGGGAGCUGCCGAAGGUAGGAUUGGCGAUUGGGGUGAAGUCGUAACAAGGUAUC